rnacentral:misc_RNA from 1 species
AAGUCGUAACAAGGUUUCCGUAGGUGAACCUGCGGAAGGAUCAUUAUCGAGUUUGAAGUGGGUUGAUGCUGGCCUCUCGAGGCACGUGCUCGCCCCUCUCAUCCACUCAACCCCUGUGCACCAUUGGAGCGUGGCUUCCCCUCUCGCGAGGGAGCGUGUUCCCUCUCCGCGAAAGCUGGGAGGUUGAGCAUGAGGUCGCUGCUUCACUUUUUUCACAAACCCCAACGUAAAGUAAAGUAGAAUGUCAACCGCCUUUGAUGGCAAAAAAUAAAUACAACUUUCAACAACGGAUCUCUUGGCUCUC